rnacentral:rRNA from 1 species
UACGAAGGGGGCUAGCGUUGCUCGGAAUCACUGGGCGUAAAGGGUGCGUAGGCGGGUCUUUAAGUCAGGGGGGAAAUCCUGGAGCUCAACUCCAGAACUGCCUUUGAUACUGAGGAUCUUGAGUUCGGGAGAGGUGAGUGGAACUGCGAGUGUAGAGGUGAAAUUCGUAGAUAUUCGGAGGAACACCAGUGGCGAAGGCGGCUCACUGGUCCGGUACUGACGCUGAGGUGCGAAAGCGUGGGGAGCAAACAGG